rnacentral:rRNA from 1 species
UACGUAGGGGGCUAGCGUUGUCCGGAAUCAUUGGGCGUAAAGAGCGUGUAGGCUGCUCGGUAAGUCCGCUGUAAAAGUCAAAGGCUCAACCUUUGAAUGUCAGUGGAUACUGCCGGGCUAGAGUCCGGAAGAGGCGAGUGGAACUGCGAGUGUAGAGGUGAAAUUCGUAGAUAUUCGCAAGAACACCAGUGGCGAAGGCGGCUCACUGGCCCGGUACUGACGCUGAGGCACGAAAGUGCGGGGAUCAAACAGG